rnacentral:tRNA from 1 species
UUAUCUUGGCAGAAUAGUGUGAUGGAUUUAGAAUCUGUUUAUGUAAAUUAUUUACAGAUAAUAC